UGUAAUCCCAGCAUUUUGAGAGGCCGAGGCGGGUGGAUCACUUGAGGUCAGGAGUUCAGGACCAGCCUGGCCAACAUGGUGAGACCUUGUCUACUAAAAAUACAAAAAUUAGCUGGGCAUGGUGGCAGGUGCCUGUCAUCCCAGCUACUCAGGAGGCUGAGGUAGGAGAAUCGCUUGAACCCGGGAGGCAGAGGUUGCAGUGAGCCAAGAUUGUGCCACUGCACUCCAGCCUGGGUGACAGAAUGAGACUCUGUCUCAAAAAACAAACAAACAGAGACUAGAAACUCACACCAAUCAUUACCUCGUAAGUGCAGUUAGCUCAGGAAGUACAAUAUUUCCAAAAAGGGGAGAGGUUGCAAUUAGCCAAGACUGUGCCAUUGCACUCCAGCCUGGGCAACAAGAACGAAACUCCGAGGAAAACCUCUGACACACAGCCUCUCCCUCUCCCUCUCCCUCUCCCUCUCCCUCCCCCUCCCCCUCCCCCUCCCCCUCUCCCUCUCCCUCUCCGUCUCCCUCUCUCUCCACGGUCUCCUUCCACGGUCUCCCUCUGAUGCCAAGCCAAAGCUGGACGGUACUGCUGCCAUCUCGGCUCACUGCAACCUCCCUGCCUGAUUCUCCUGCCUCAGCCUGCCGAGUGCCUGUGAUUGCAGGCGCGCGCCGCCACGCCUGACUGGUUUUCGUUUUUUUUUUUGGUGGAGACGGGGUUUUGCUGUGUUGGCCGGGCUGGUCUCCAGCUCCUAACCGCGAGUGAUCCGCCAGCCUCGGCCUCCCGAGGUGCUGGGAUUGCAGACGGAGUCUCGUUCACUCAGUGCUCAAUGGUGCCCAGGCUGGAGUGCAGCGGCGUGAUCUCGGCUCGCUACAACCUCCACCUCCCAGCUGCCCGCCUUGGCCCCCCAAAGUGCCAAGAUUGCAGCCUCUGCCCAGCCGCCACCCCAUGUGGGAAGUGAGGAGCGUCUCUGCCUGGCCCCCCAUCGUCUGGGAUAUGAGGAGCCUCUCUGCCUGGCUGCCCAGUCUGGAAAGUGAGGAGCGUCUCUGCCCGGCCGCCAUCCCAUCUAGGAAGUGAGGAGCGCCUCUUCCCGGCCGCCAUCCCAUCUAGGAAGCGAGGAGCGCCUCUUCCCCGCCGCCCAUCGUCUGAGAUGUGGGGAGCGCCUCUGCCCCGCCGCCCUGUCUGGGAUGUGAGGAGCGUCUCUGCCCGGCCGCCCCGUCUGAGAAGUGAGGAAACCCUCUGCCUGGCAACCGCCCCGUCUGAGAAGUGAGGAGCCCCUCCGCCCGGCAGCUGCCCCGUCUGGGAAGUGAGGAGCGUCUCCGCCCGGCAGCCGCCCCGUCCGGGAGGGAGGUGGGGGGGGGUCAGCCCCCCGCCGGGCCAGCCGCCCCGUCCGGGAGGUGAGGGGCUCCUCUGCCCGGCCGCCCCUACUGGGAAGUGAGGAGCCCUCUGCCCGGCCAGCCGCCCCGUCCGGGAGGGAGGUGGGGGGUCAGCCCCCCGCCCGGCCAGCCGCCCAGUCCGGGAGGGAGGUGGGGGGUCAGCCCCCCGCCCAGCCAGCCGCCCCGUCCGGGAGGGAGGUGGGGGGAUCAGCCCCCCGCCUGGCCAGCCGCCCCAUCCGGGAGGUGAGGGGCGCCUCUGCCCGGCCGCCCCUACUGGGAAGUGAGGAGCCCCUCUGCCCGGCCAGCCGCCCCGUCCGGGAGGUGAGGGGUGCUUCUGCCCGGCCGCCCCUACUGGGAAGUGAGGAGCCCCUCUGCCCGGCCACGACCCCGUCUGGGAGGUGUGCCCAGCGGCUCAUUGGGGAUGGGCCAUGAUGACAAUGGCGGUUUUGUGGAAUAGAAAGGCGGGAAGGGUGGGGAAAAAAUUGAGAAAUCGGAUGGUUGCCGGGUCUGUGUGGAUAGAAGUAGACAUGGGAGACUUUUCAUUUUGUUCUGUACUAAGAAAAAUUCUUCUGCCUUGGGAUCCUGUUGAUCUGUCACCUUAUCCCCAACCCCGUGCUCUCUGAAACAUGUGCUGUGUCCACUCAGGGUUAAAUGGAUUAAGGGCGGUGCAAGAUGUGCUUUGUUAAACAGAUGCUUGAAGGCAGCAUGCUCGUUAAGAGUCAUCACCACUCCCUAAUCUCAAGUACCCAGGGACACAAACACUGCGGAAGGCCGCAGGGACCUCUGCCUAGGAAAACCAGAGACCUUUGUUCACUUGUUUAUCUGCUGACCUUCCCUCCACUAUUGUCCUGUGACCCUGCCAAAUCCCCCUCUGCGAGAAACACCCAAGAAUGAUCAAUAAAAAAAA
rnacentral:lncRNA from 1 species